UGGUGGAGUGAUUUGUCUGCUUAAUUGCGAUAACGAACGAGACCUUAACCUGCUAAAUAGCCCGGCCCGCUUUUGCGGGUCGCCGGCUUCUUAGAGGGACUAUCGGCUCAAGCCGAUGGAAGUUUGAGGCAAUAACA
rnacentral:rRNA from 1 species